rnacentral:rRNA from 1 species
AGUGAAAACGAGUAGGACGGGACACGUGAUAUCCUGUUUGAACAUGGGGGGACCAUCCUCCAAGGCUAAAUACUCCUGACUGACCGAUAGUGAACCAGUACCGUGAGGGAAAGGCGAAAAGAACCCCUGUGAGGGGAGUGAAAUAGAACCUGAAACCGUGUACGUACAAGCAGUAGGAGCCCACUUGUUGGGUGACUGCGUACCUUUUGUAUAAUGGGUCAGCGACUUAAUUUUAGUAGCAAGGUUAACCGUUUAGGGGAGCCGUAGGGAAACCGAGUCUUAACUGGGCGUCAUAGUUGCUAGGAUUAGACCCGAAACCAGGUGAUCUAGCCAUGGGCAGGUUGAAGGUGAGGUAACACUUACUGGAGGACCGAACCGACUAAUGUUGAAAAAUUAGCGGAUGACUUGUGGCUAGGGGUGAAAGGCCAAUCAAACCUGGAGAUAGCUGGUUCUCCCCGAAAGCUAUUUAGGUAGCGCCUCGGACGAAUACUACUGGGGGUAGAGCACUGUUAAGGCUAGGGGGUCAUCCCGACUUACCAACCCUUUGCAAACUCCGAAUACCAGUAAGUACUAUCCGGGAGACACACGGCGGGUGCUAACGUCCGUCGUGGAGAGGGAAACAACCCAGACCGCCAGCUAAGGUCCCAAAGUUAUAGCUAAGUGGGAAACGAUGUGGGAAGGCUCAGACAGCCAGGAUGUUGGCUUAGAAGCAGCCAUCAUUUAAAGAAAGCGUAAUAGCUCACUGGUCGAGUCGGCCUGCGCGGAAGAUUUAACGGGGCUAAGCUAUACACCGAAGCUGCGGCAAUAUGACUUGUCAUAUUGGGUAGGGGAGCGUUCUGUAAGCCGUUGAAGGUGAUCUGUAAGGGCUGCUGGAGGUAUCAGAAGUGCGAAUGCUGACAUGAGUAACGAUAAAGGGAGUGAAAAACUCCCUCGCCGGAAGAUCAAGGGUUCCUGUCCAACGUUAAUCGGGGCAGGGUAAGUCGACCCCUAAGGCGAGGCCGAAAGGCGUAGUCGAUGGGAAACGGGUUAAUAUUCCCGUACUGCUUAUAACUGCGAUGGGGGGACGGAGAAGGCUAGGUGGGCUUGGCGACGGUCGUCCAAGUUCAAGGGUGUAGGCUGAUAGUUUAGGCAAAUCCGGACUAUCUUAAGGCUGAGACCCGAUGUCGAGUCACUACGGUGAUGAAGUCAUUGAUGCCAUGCUUCCGGGAAAAGCCUCUAAGCGAUAGGUUAUAAGCAAUCGUACCCCAAACCGACACAGGUGA